GGCCAAGUUUUUUAGGGCACACGGUGGAUGCCUUGGCAUCAGGAGCCGAUGAAGGACGUGGGAGGCUGCGUUAAGCCUCGGGGAGUCGCCAACCAGACGUUGAUCCGGGGAUGUCCGAAUGGGGAAACCCAGCACCAGUCAUGUGGUGUUGCCUCCGCCUGAAUGUAUAGGGCGGUUGGUGGUAACGCGGGGAAGUGAAACAUCUCAGUACCCGUAGGAAGAGAAAACAAUAUGUGAUUCCGUGAGUAGUGGUGAGCGAAAGCGGAUGAGGCUAAACCGGGCGUGUGUGAUAGCCGGCAGGCGUUGCAUGUCCGGGGUUGUGGGACCCUCUAACAGUUUCUGCCGAGAUUGUAAGAAGUUAUAAAUCCUUCCGAUAGUUGAAGCCUCUGGGAAGGGGCGCCGUAGACCGUGAGAGCCGGGUAGGCGAAAUCGGAUGGACUUCUUGAGGUGUUCCCGAGUAGCACGGGGCCCGAGAAAUCCUGUGUGAAUCUGCCAGGACCACCUGGUAAGCCUAAAUACUCCCUGAUGACCGAUAGUGCACGAGUACCGUGAGGGAAAGGUGAAAAGUGCCCCGGUGAGGGGUCGUGAAAUAGUACCUGAAACCGUGUGCCUACAAGCCGUAGGAGCUUACAUCAGCUUGCUGGUGUGUGAUGUGACUGCGUGCCUUUUGAAGAAUGAGCCUGCGAGUUAUGGUGUGUGGCGAGGUUAACCCGUGUGGGGGAGCCGUAGCGAAAGCGAGUCUGAAUAGGGCGUUUGAGUCGCAUGCUGUAGACCCGAAGCGGAGUGAUCUACGCAUGGGCAGGUUGAAGCUCAGGUAAGACUGGGUGGAGGACCGAACCCACCAGGGUUGAAAACCUGGGGGAUGACCUGUGUGUAGGGGUGAAAGGCCAAUCAAACUCCGUGAUAGCUGGUUCUCCCCGAAAUGCAUUUAGGUGCAGCGUCACGUGUUUCUUGCCGGAGGUAGAGCACUGGAUGGCCGAUGGGCCCGACAAGGUUACUGACGUCAGCCAAACUCCGAAUGCCGGUAAGUGAGAGCGUGGCAGUGAGACUGCGGGCGAUAAGGUUCGUAGUCGAGAGGGAAACAGCCCAGAUCACCGACUAAGGCCCCUAAGCGUGUGCUAAGUGGGAAAGGAUGUGGAGUCGCAGAGACAACCAGGAGGUUGGCUUAGAAGCAGCCACCCUUGAAAGAGUGCGUAAUAGCUCACUGGUCAAGUGAUUCCGCGCCGACAAUGUAGCGGGGCUCAAGUACACCGCCGAAGUCGUGGCACUCACNNNNNNNNNNNNNNNNNNNNNNNNNNNNNNNNNNNNNNNNNNNNNNNNNNNNNNNNNNNNNNNNNNNNNNNNNNNNNNNNNNNNNNNNNNNNNNNAGUGAACGCUCGAUCCGAUCGGGUAGUAGGUAAGCGAUGGGGUGACGCAGGAAGGUAGUCCAGCCCAGGCGAUGGUUGUCCUGGGGUAAGCAUGUAGGGAGUGAGGUAGGCAAAUCCGCCUCGCAUUAAUCCUGAGAUGUGAUGCCGAGCCGAUUGUGGCGAAGUGGAUGAUCCUAUGCUGCCGAGAAAAGCCUCUAGUGAGUGUUGUGGCGGCCCGUACCCUAAACCGACUCAGGUGGUCAGGUAGAGAAUACCAAGGCGAUCGGGUGAACUGUGGUUAAGGAACUCGGCAAAUUGCCCCCGUAACUUCGGGAGAAGGGGGACCUCUGCCGGUGUAGGAGCGUGCCUCCGAAGCUGGUGGGGGUCGCAGUGGCCAGGGGGAAGCGACUGUUUACUAAAAACACAGGUCCGUGCGAAGUCGUAAGACGAUGUAUACGGACUGACGCCUGCCCGGUGCCGGAACGUUAAGGGGACCGCUUAGUCAGCGUGAGUUGGCGAAGGUGAGAACUUAAGCGCCGGUAAACGGCGGUGGUAACUAUAACCAUCCUAAGGUAGCGAAAUUCCUUGUCGGGUAAGUUCCGACCUGCACGAAUGGCGUAACGACUUCCCCGCUGUCUCAACCGCAGACCCGGCGAAAUUGCAUUACGAGUAAAGAUGCUCGUUACGCGCAGCAGGACGGAAAGACCCCGGGACCUUCACUACAGCUUGACAUUGGCGUUUGGAACGUCUUGUGUAGGAUAGGUGGGAGACUGGGAAGCUCGGACGCUAGUUCGGGUGGAGUCAUUGGUGAAAUACCACUCUGGUCGUUUUGAACGUCUAACUCUGGUCCGUGAUCCGGAUCGGGGACAGUGUCUGGUGGGUAGUUUAACUGGGGCGGUUGCCUCCUAAAGGGUAACGGAGGCGCCCAAAGGUUCCCUCAGCCUGGUUGGCAAUCAGGUGUCGAGUGUAAGUGCACAAGGGAGCUUGACUGUGAGACUGACGGGUCGAGCAGGAGCGAAAGCUGGGACUAGUGAUCCGGCAUCGGCGUGUGGAAGCGGUGUCGCUCAACGGCUAAAAGGUACCCCGGGGAUAACAGGCUGAUCUUCCCCAAGAGUCCAUAUCGACGGGAUGGUUUGGCACCUCGAUGUCGGCUCGUCGCAUCCUGGGGCUGGAGUAGGUCCCAAGGGUUGGGCUGUUCGCCCAUUAAAGCGGUACGCGAGCUGGGUUUAGAACGUCGCGAGACAGUUCGGUCCCUAUCCGCUGCGCGCGCAGGAGACUUGAAAGGAGCUGUCCCUAGUACGAGAGGACCGGGACGGACGAACCUCUGGUGUGCCAGUUGUACCGCCAGGUGCAUGGCUGGUUGGCUACGUUCGGAAGGGAUAACCGCUGAAAGCAUCUAAGCGGGAAGCUCGCCUUGAGAUGAGGUCUCCCACCACGAGAGUGGGUAAGGCUCCCGGUAGACGACCGGGUUGAUAGGCCGGAGGUGGAAGCACGGUAACGUGUGGAGCUGACCGGUACUAAUAGGCCGAGGACUUGACCAC
rnacentral:rRNA from 1 species